rnacentral:rRNA from 1 species
GAUGAACGCUGGCGGCGUGCCUAAUACAUGCAAGUCGAGCGAACGGACGAGAAGCUUGCUUCUCUGAUGUUAGCGGCGGACGGGUGAGUAACACGUGGAUAACCUACCUAUAAGACUGGGAUAACUUCGGGAAACCGGAGCUAAUACCGGAUAAUAUUUUGAACCGCAUGGUUCAAAAGUGAAAGACGGUCUUGCUGUCACUUAUAGAUGGAUCCGCGCUGCAUUAGCUAGUUGGUAAGGUAACGGCUUACCAAGGCAACGAUGCAUAGCCGACCUGAGAGGGUGAUCGGCCACACUGGAACUGAGACACGGUCCAGACUCCUACGGGAGGCAGCAGUAGGGAAUCUUCCGCAAUGGGCGAAAGCCUGACGGAGCAACGCCGCGUGAGUGAUGAAGGUCUUCGGAUCGUAAAACUCUGUUAUUAGGGAAGAACAUACGUGUAAGUAACUGUGCACAUCUUGACGGUACCUAAUCAGAAAUCCACGGCUAACUACGUG